rnacentral:rRNA from 1 species
AACACGUGAGUAACCUGCCCUUGACUCUGGGAUAAGCCUGGGAAACUGGGUCUAAUACCGGAUACGACCAUCUGGCGCAUGUCAUGGCGGUGGAAAGCUUUUGUGGUUUUGGAUGGACUCGCGGCCUAUCAGCUUGUUGGUGGGGUAAUGGCCUACCAAGGCGACGACGGGUAGCCGGCCUGAGAGGGUGACCGGCCACACUGGGACUGAGACACGGCCCAGACUCCUACGGGAGGCAGCAGUGGGGAAUAUUGCACAAUGGGCGCAAGCCUGAUGCAGCGACGCCGCGUGAGGGAUGACGGCCUUCGGGUUGUAAACCUCUUUCAGUAGGGAAGAAGCGAAAGUGACGGUACCUGCAGAAGAAGCGCCGGCUAACUACGUGCCAGCAGCCGCGGUAAUACGUAGGGCGCAAGCGUUAUCCGGAAUUAUUGGGCGUAAAGAGCUCGUAGGCGGUUUGUCGCGUCUGCUGUGAAAGACCGGGGCUCAACUCCGGUUCUGCAGUGGGUACGGGCAGACUAGAGUGCAGUAGGGGAGACUGGAAUUCCUGGUGUAGCGGUGAAAUGCGCAGAUAUCAGGAGG